AUGAGGGUGGUUUGCAGCAUCACCGGCUGCUGCUGCCGCCGGCCAGCCUGCAUCGCCGCCCCCUUUGAAGCAACGACUUCGUCUCGCUCGUCAUCAAACGGCCGCCCCAUGCAGCACAGUGACACAUCAUCAACCGACUGGGAUAAGGCUUGGUCUAAGUUCUCACCGCACAAAUAUGUGACCUGGAACCCACGGCGCAUUGAGUGUCCAUUGUCAGAAGAAGUCGAUCCAACCAAAAGAGUUGAGAGGUCUAACUUGACGUUGUGA
rnacentral:rRNA from 1 species